ACUCACUGCAGCCUUGAUCUCCCAGGCUCAAACUUCAGCUUCCUGAGUAGCUGAGACUACAAGUGUGCACCACCACUCCCAGCUAAUUUUUUUCUUUUUUUGGAUAGAGACAGGGUCUCACUGUGUUGUCCAGACCGGUCUCUAGCUCCUGGCCUUAAGCAGUCCUCCUGUGUUAGCUUCUCAAAUUGCUGGAAUUUUGGGUAUGAGCCACCAUGCCUGGCCUGGGCUAGUCCUGAUUUCUCUAGAGUUCUCUUUACUUUGUGCUAGCCAAUCUCUCAUUAUGCCGUUCCCCUGUUACAAUGAAUAAUUCUCUGGAUUAAAUUUUACCACUUUAAACUUUUGAGUGGUUUAUGUCUCCUGGUUGGACUCUAAUAUGCCCGGAAGGGUCCCAGGAGAUGAACCCACACAGAUGGGAUUUGGGCAUAGGUUUGGUUUUCCAAGGGACAGUGCUGAGCUCCUUGCCAAUGGGAAAUGGGAUGCUGGUGAUUUCCGGUAAGUGACCUCACAGUGACUCAAGCUACCACUUACUGUUGAUUGUGAUGAAAUGCCAACUGAGAGGCACAUGCCUUGGGAGCUAAGUGGUUGCUGCACUGGACCGCUAUGAAGACUGGUGUGGGAAGGGUCCUUUUGGAUGCACGUGAGCGGGGGUCCCCAACCCCUGAGCCAUGGAAGCUGUAAGGAGCCACACAACAGGAGGUGAGUGGUGUCGAGUGAGGGAAACUUCAUCUGUAUUUACAGCCACUCCCCUUUGCUCACAUUCCUGCCUGAGCUCCACCUUCUCUCAGGUCAGCAACAGCAUUAGAUUCUCAUACGAGCACGCACCCUGUUGUGAACCAUGCAUGUGAGGGAUCUAGGUUAUGCUGUCCCUAUGAGAAUCUAAUGCCUAAUGAUCUGUCACUUUCUCCCGUCACACUCAGAUGGGACCAUCUAGUCGCAGGAAAACAAGCUUAACAUGGCUACUGAUUCUACAUUAUGGUCUUGCCUCCCGGCAGCCUCUCCAGGCCCAGAAGUUUCUCCAGACAGCCUUUACAGACCAAGCUCAUGACUCACAAUGGUCUAUUUAGGCCCAUACCCUACCUCACAGCAGUCUCUGCGUCUGAGACUACUGCCUCACAACAGCAUCCACAGGCCCAGCUCCAUCAUUAUGACAGCCUCUUUAGGCCCAGCUCCUGCCUCAGAACAACCUCUUUUGGCUCAGCUCCUGCCCAGCUUCUAAUGGCCUUUGAAGACCCAAAAGUGCCUCAGGUCAAACUUUCCAGGCCCACCCUCUGCCUCCCAGUGGCCUGGACAGGCCCAGCUCCUACGUGACAAUGGCCUCUCCAGGCCCAGCUUUUGCCUCAUGGACAUCUUCCCCAACCAAGCUCCUACCUGCCUCCUGGCCAUCUUGAUGGGCCCAGAUCCUGCCUCACGCUAACCUCAUUACGCCCAGCUCAUGCCUCACUGUGGCCUGUCCAGGCCCAGGUCCUGCCCCCCGACAGGCUGUCCGUGCCUGAAACUUCCUCAAGUCAGCCUCUCCAGUCACAGCUCCUGCCCAACAUUGGCCUCUUUAGGCACAGCUUGUGCCUUGGUGGCCUCUCCAGGCCCAGCUCCUGCAUCCUGGCAGCUUCUCUAGGCCAAGAACUUUCUCAGGUUCACCAUCCCAGGCCCAACUCCUGCCUCCCGUCAGCCUCUAUAGGCUCAACCUCUGCCUUACAGGAGACUUUCCUGGCCACCUAGGCCAAGCUCCUCCCUUUCAGCAGCCUCUGCAGGCCCAGCUCCUGCCUCUCAGUGACCUCUCUAGAGCAAGCUCAUGCCUCACAGUGGCCAUUCUGGCUCAGCUUUUGCCUUUUGGCAGCAUGUCCAGGCCCAGAACUUCCUCAAGUGGGCCUCUCCAGGCCCACCACUUCCUCCCGGCUGCAUCUCCAGGCCCACCUCCUACCUCACAACAACCUCUUUCAGCUCAGCUCUUGCCCAGCUCCUGGCAGCCUUUAUAGGCCCAAAGCUUUCUCACAUCACGUUCUCCAGCACAACCUGCCUCCCAGCAGCUUAAAUAGGUCCAGCUCCUGCGUGACCAUGGCCUCUCCAGGCUCAGCUCUUGCCUAACGGAGUUCGUCCUUGGCCAAGUUCCUGCCUGCCUCCCAACAGGCUCGAAAGGCCCAGCUCCUGCCCCCGACAGUCUCUCCAGGCCAAAAUCUUCCUC